AGUGAACGCUGGCGGUAGGCCUAACACAUGCAAGUCGAACGGCAGCACAGUAAGAGCUUGCUCUUACGGGUGGCGAGUGGCGGACGGGUGAGGAAUACAUCGGAAUCUACUUUUUCGUGGGGGAUAACGUAGGGAAACUUACGCUAAUACCGCAUACGACCUACGGGUGAAAGCAGGGGAUCUUCGGACCUUGCGCGAUUGAAUGAGCCGAUGUCGGAUUAGCUAGUUGGCGGGGUAAAGGCCCACCAAGGCGACGAUCCGUAGCUGGUCUGAGAGGAUGAUCAGCCACACUGGAACUGAGACACGGUCCAGACUCCUACGGGAGGCAGCAGUGGGGAAUAUUGGACAAUGGGGGCAAGCCUGAUCCAGCCAUACCGCGUGGGUGAAGAAGGCCUUCGGGUUGUAAAGCCCUUUUGUUGGGAAAGAAAUCCAGCCGGCUAAUACCUGGUUGGGAUGACGGUACCCAAAGAAUAAGCACCGGCUAACUUCGUG
rnacentral:rRNA from 1 species